rnacentral:rRNA from 1 species
AACGAACGCUGGCGGCAGGCUUAACACAUGCAAGUCGAGCGCCCCGCAAGGGGAGCGGCAGACGGGUGAGUAACGCGUGGGAAUCUACCCAUCUCUACGGAAUAACGCAUGGAAACGUGUGCUAAUACCGUAUACGUCCUUCGGGAGAAAGAUUUAUCGGAGAUGGAUGAGCCCGCGUUGGAUUAGCUAGUUGGUGGGGCAAAGGCCUACCAAGGCGACGAUCCAUAGCUGGUCUGAGAGGAUGAUCAGCCACACUGGGACUGAGACAAGGCCCAGGCUUCAUUCGAAGCAAGCAGUGAGGAAUUUUGGACAAUGAGCGAAAGCUUGAUCCAGCAAUACUCCAUGAGUGAUGACAGCUUUCAAGUUGUAAAACUCUUUGGUUGAUGAGGAUAAUGACAGUAGUCAACAUAAUAGCCCCGGCUAACUUCGUGCCAGCCGCCGCCGUAAAAC